ensembl:lncRNA
CAAACGCAACAUUUGCUGUCAAACUUUCAGUGUCGUUCCUCUUCCAAAGCUGUGGCGCAGUUUACGUUCUCGUCUGGAUGAAGACUGAAGUCCUCAAGAUGAGUGAGGAGGAGUUUCCAGCCUCCAGCUGUCUAUGAAGAGCGACCGAUCCAACGAUCAUCCUCCAGACUUCAGUAAAGAACCUAAACCCUCAGAGACAAAAAGACGGAGAGUAGAGUCUGCAGCCUCCAGCUGUCUGUCUAUGAAGAGCGACCGAUCCAACGAUCAUCCUCCAGACUUCAGUAAAGAACCUAAACCCUCAGAGACAAAUGUGGACAGGAAUCAGCUGCUGAGGUUCAUCCACUGCUGUGCUGCCUCUGACGUCCAGCAGGAGGCAGCAUCCGGCCUGCUGAGGACUCUGCAGCACCGCUUGGAUCUGUCCUGCCAGUCCUUUGUGGAUCUACAAGAGGAGGAUCAGACCGAGCCUCUGAGUCUGACUGCUGAUGACUGCAGGGCUGCAUCCAUCAUCCUGAAACACUGCAGCCGGGACACUCAGCUCCACCUGCAGGACUGUGAGGUGGAGGACGGAGGACUGGACCUGCUGUUUCCUGUCCUGGACAGGGUCCGUCUCAGAGUCAGUAAAAGUGUCCUCCUCCAGCUGCUGUCCCUGAUUCCUGUCCACUCUGAGAGGGACACAGUGAGACGGGCCGAGUCCCUGUGUGGAGCUCUGGGUGGAGAGCUGGACCUCAGUCACACCACACUGGACCAGAGGGUCUGUGGAGGUCUGGUCCAGAUGCUGGACUCCUGUGAAGGACUGACUGAGCUGGACCUCAGUCACUGUCAGCUCAGAGACCAGCUGCUGCUGGUCCUCAUCACACAUCUGCACAAAGUCCAGGUCCUGGAGUGAGUCUCAGACCACUUCCUUCUCUGGGAGGCAUGUCUCAUGUUUUUCCAAGUGUCAGCAGGUGUUAACAACUCUGGGACUAAAUGGAGGCUUCACACACUGUAGAUGUUAAACUUUUUCCAUUUUUCCAGCCUCUCCAGACGUUUCCUCUCUACUCUGUUCAUCAGCUGUAGAAAGAUGUUUCACCAUGCUGGAUGGAUCUCCAACAACCUGCUCCUCUGUUCUCUGUUUCUGAGCCAUGCUGCAUUUAUUUGAUUCAUCCAGAAGCUUUGAUUUUCCUCUCAGUGGAAACACUGCCUGCAGUUCACCUGAAAACCCAGAAUUUUUCUCUCCUGACUGAUGGUCUCAGCUGAGUCAGUCGAGGUUUCUCUGUUGCACUGAGGAGACCAGAAUUUUUAGUUUUUUUACAGAAUCUGGUGCAAACAGUUUAUUUUUAGUGAAUUUUCAAAUUAGACGCGUAGAAUAAAAUGAUUAUGAUGAAUUGUUGUGUGAUUUUAAGUCUAGAUUUGGUUCAUUUCUGGACAGAACUACACACCACGAGUCACAGAGUUGAACAUCUGAAGCUUCUUUUUGUUUUUUACAGUUUGUGGCUCUGAUAAAUGGAGUCAUUUAGUUUUUUAAAGACGUCACUUCCGUUAAUCUCAGCAGCAGGUUUAAGGUUCAGAGGCUUCAGAUCCAGGACUUGAACUAAAGAAUAUUCCAGAUUCACAGAGUUUUAGAUGGACCCAAACACACCUUCACUGGCAGCUGAUGAUGGAUUUAGAGAAGAUGAUGGAAACAAACUUAUUGUAGAGGAAAAUGAGGUUGUUUACAGGAAGUUGUCCCAGAAAAACUGACUCUGCUUUUAUGUUUGAUCCUGUUGAUUGACUGAUGAGCUUCUCUGACCUUCUGUCAACAUGUUAUCAGAUGGAGGGAUAAAUGAGUUGUGUGUUUGUGUUGCAGUCUGAGCCACAAUAAGAUCACAGAUGCUUCCACAGAUGUGCUCCUCCAGCUGAUCUCCAUCCACUCCUCCAUCCACACUGUGAGACUCUUCAGCAACGACAUCGUGGACAGAAGACCCUUUAAGAAGCACAAGCAGUUUGAAAUCUGGUGAAGCAGUCAGGAGGUCAUGUGAUCAUCAGGGAGGAACUGUUGGAUGUUGUCAUUAAAAAGCCUUUUCUCCUCAUGAUCAGAUGAAAACAUGGAGUUCAUUCUGGUCAUCAGUAGUGUGUGAUGGAGAGACUUUAGUUGAAACAAGCUUUGAUUUUUACCUCAUUAGAUUCUCUUUGCUUUUUACAAUCAAUCAGACGACACUUUAUCUGGAGGCAAAGAGCAGCCAGCAGUGUUUUCUAAAACUUCACCACCUAUGUUUGACAUUAUUAGUUAGUGGAGCUCAUAUUUCUGUUUGCUACCAUGUAAUGAUCGUCUUAAAAUUAUUUUUUUAUUGUGACAAAACAGAGACUAUAACUGUCAGUGUUGUGAAUAGGCUGAAGUGAUAUUUUUCUACUGCUGUGAUAACUGUAUUUAUUCUUGUUUGCAUGUUCCAGUGGAGGGAGAGUAAAAUGACUCUCUGAUAGCACCUCAGAGGAAUGAAGCAAGAAGAGUUCAUUCAGGACUAAACUGUUUGGUACAUUCCUAGAACUGGAAGAAACCAUCAGAAAACUGGAAACAUGUUGAGGAUUUUUCACUCACAUUUGAAAUAAAGUCAUCCAAGAGAUGAUGUUUCUUCCUGUGCUGGUUCUCUCUUC